CGGACGGGUGAGUAACACGUAUCCAACCUGCCGUCUACUCUUGGCCAGCCUUCUGAAAGGAAGAUUAAUCCAGGAUGGCAUCAUGAGUUCACAUGUCCGCAUGAUUAAAGGUAUUUUCCGGUAGACGAUGGGGAUGCGUUCCAUUAGAUAGUAGGCGGGGUAACGGCCCACCUAGUCAACGAUGGAUAGGGGUUCUGAGAGGAAGGUCCCCCACAUUGGAACUGAGACACGGUCCAA
rnacentral:rRNA from 1 species